CAGUAGCCGCGGUAAUACGUAGGUGGCAAGCGUUGUCCGGAAUUAUUGGGCGUAAAGGGCUCGCAGGUGGUUUCUUAAGUCUGAUGUGAAAGCCCCCGGCUCAACCGGGGAGGGUCAUUGGAAACUGGGAAACUUGAGUGCAGAAGAGGAGAGUGGAAUUCCACGUGUAGCGGUGAAAUGCGUAGAGAUGUGGAGGAACACCAGUGGCGAAGGCGACUCUCUGGUCUGUAACUGACGCUGAGGAGCGAAAGCGUGGGGAGCAAACAGGAUUAGAUACCCCAGUAGUCCCUGUCUCUUAUAU
rnacentral:rRNA from 1 species